rnacentral:rRNA from 1 species
CUGUGAUGCCCUUAGAUGUUCUGGGCCGCACGGUAUGUAAUCACUCCUUUCUCUCCAUUCUUAACCGAUAUACUAACGUUUUUUAUAGCGCGCUACACUGACAGAGCCAGCGAGUACAUCACCUUGGCCGAAAGGUCUGGGUAAUCUUGUUAAACUCUGUCGUGCUGGGGAUAGAGCAUUGCAAUUAUUGCUCUUCAACGAGGAAUGCCUAGUAAGCGCAAGUCAUCAGCUUGCGUUGAUUACGUCCCUGCCCUUUGUACACACCGC